AUGGAAAAGCUGCUCACCGUAGUGUGUGUUUCAAGCCUUCUUCUAGCCACUCUCGCGGACGACGCCUCCUCCAGAUCUUCUCUUCAGCACCCCUCCCCGGACAGUCUACAAGGUCGUGUUCUAGGUCGCAGAGGCAGAGAGGAACCGGCACACCACCACCAUUACCGGCGUGAAGGCGACCACGAGGAGCAGCAUGAGCACGCACCAUUUUCUGCUCAGAAGAAAUUUGUUUUGUUCAGAAGAAAAUGUAUGGCACCAUCAGAGUUUUUUGACGACGAAGCACAAGUGCAGGUUGUGCCUAUGGGAGUGGAGAGUGUUGAAGAGAGGAGGAAGGCGGGCUGGAGGAACGAGGACGAGGAGGCGGUUGCGACGGAAGGGCUGAUCUCCAGCGCGGACUACAGCGGCGUGGCCAUGCACGGCCACAGCUCCCCGCCGGCGCACAAAAAGCACCCCAGGCCAUAG
rnacentral:rRNA from 1 species